rnacentral:rRNA from 1 species
CGAUAGCAAACCGAAGAACCGUUACCUCGGGUUUGUACAUGUACAUGUACUGAUCUGAGAGGAGAGGGACCCAUGCUUCGGUAUGGGAGCGUACACAGGUGCUGCAUGGCUGUCGUCAGCUCGUGUCGUGAGAUGUUGGGUAAGUCCCGCAACGAGCGCAAACCCUGCAUCCAGUUGCCAUCGGGCGAGCCGGGCACUCUGGAGGGACUGCCGGCGACAAGCCGGAGGAAGUGGGGGAUGACGGUCAAGUCAUCAUGGCCCUUAUGUCCAGGGCGACACACGUGCUACAAUGGCCGGCACAGCGGGAAGCGGAGGGGCGACCCUGAGCGGAUCCCUUGAAAGCCGGUCCCAGUUCGGAUUGCAGUCUGCAACUCGACUGCAUGAAGUUGGAAUCGCUAGUAAUCGCGGAUCAGCCAAGCCGCGGUGAAUACGUUCCCGGGCCUU